rnacentral:rRNA from 1 species
UACAGGGGGGGCAAGCGUUGUUCGGAAUUACUGGGCGUAAAGGGCUUGUAGGUGGCCAACUAAGUCACACGUGAAAUCCCCAGGCUUAACCUGGGAACUGCGUGUGAUACUGGAUGGCUUGAAUCCGGGAGAGGGAUGCGGAAUUCCAGGUGUAGCGGUGAAAUGCGUAGAUAUCUGGAGGAACACCGGUGGCGAAGGCGGCAUCCUGGACCGGCAUUGACGCUGAGGCGCGAAAGCCAGGGGAGCAAACGGG